rnacentral:rRNA from 1 species
GACGAACGCUGGCGGCGUGCUUAACACAUGCGAGUCGAACGGAAAGGCCCUGCUUGCAGGGUACUCGAGUGGCGAACGGGUGAGUAACACGUGGGUGAUCUGCCCUGCACUUCGGGAUAAGCCUGGGAAACUGGGUCUAAUACCGGAUAGGAGCCAUUUUUAGUGUGAUGGUUGGAAAGUUUUUUCGGUGUAGGAUGAGCUCGCGGCCUAUCAGCUUGUUGGUGGGGUAAUGGCCUACCAAGGCGGCGACGGGUAGCCGGCCUGAGGGGGUGGACGGCCACAUUGGGACUGAGGUACGGCCCAGACUCCUACGGGAGGCAGCAGUGGGGAAUAUUGCACAAUGGGCGCAAGCCUGAUGCAGCGACGCCGCGUGGGGGAUGACGGCCUUCGGGUUGUAAACUCCUUUCGCUAGGGACGAAGCUUUUUGUGACGGUACCUAGAUAAGAAGCACCGGCUAACUACGUG